UAGGGAAUCUUCCGCAAUGGGCGAAAGCUUGACGGAGCAACGCCGCGUGAGUGAUGAAGGUCUUCGGAUCGUAAAACUCUGUUAUUAGGGAAGAACAAAUGUGUAAGUAACUAUGCACGUCUUGACGGUACCUAAUCAGAAAGCCACGGCUAACUACGUGCCAGCAGCCGCGGUAAUACGUAGGUGGCAAGCGUUAUCCGGAAUUAUUGGGCGUAAAGCGCGCGUAGGCGGUUUGUUAAGUCUGAUGUGAAAGCCCACGGGUCAACCGUGGAAGGUCAUUGGAAACUGGAAAACUUGAGUGCAGAAGAGGAAAGUGGAAUUCCAUGUGUAGCGGUGAAAUGCGCAGAGAUAUGGAGGAACACCAGUGGCGAAGGCGACUUUCUGGUCUGUAACUGACGCUGAUGUGCGAAAGCGUGGGGAUCAAACAGG
rnacentral:rRNA from 1 species